GGUAGCUCAACGGCAGAGCCCUCGACUGUUAAUCGAGUUGUUGUAGGUUCGAAUCCUACCC
rnacentral:tRNA from 1 species